UAUUAGUGGUGUGGACAUUCCCAAAGAAAAACCUUGAAGCGUUCCUAAGCAUGAUAAAGGUUUUCAUCAGACUUCUGUUUGAAGCUUACUAUCUCACCGUAAAGU
rnacentral:snoRNA from 1 species